rnacentral:rRNA from 1 species
UACAUAGGGUGCAAGCGUUAAUCGGAAUUACUGGGCGUAAAGCGUGCGCAGGCGGUUUUGUAAGUCUGUCGUGAAAGCCCCGGGCUCAACCUGGGAAUUGCGAUGGAGACUGCAAGGCUUGAAUCCGGCAGAGGGGGGUAGAAUUCCACGUGUAGCAGUGAAAUGCGUAGAGAUGUGGAGGAACACCGAUGGCGAAGGCAGCCCCCUGGGUCAAGAUUGACGCUCAUGCACGAAAGCGUGGGGAGCAAACAGG